rnacentral:tRNA from 1 species
GCCUGUCUGGCUCAAUUGGUAGAGUGUGGGACUUUUGAUCUUGGGGUUGUGAGUUCAAGCCUCAUGUUGGGUA